AUUGAACGCUGGCGGCAGGCUUAACACAUGCAAGUCGAACGCAUCCUUCGGGGUGAGUGGCAGACGGGUGAGUAACGCGUGGGAACGUGCCCUUCAGUUCGGGAUAACCCAGGGAGACUUGGGCUAAUACCGGAUACGUGCGAGAGCAGAAAGAUUUAUCGCUGAAGGAUCGGCCCGCGUCUGAUUAGCUAGUUGGUGGGGUAAUGGCCCGCCAAGGCGACGAUCAGUAGCUGGUCUGAGAGGAUGAUCAGCCACAUUGGGACUGAGACACGGCCCAAACUCCUACGGGAGGCAGCAGUGGGGAAUAUUGGACAAUGGGCGCAAGCCUGAUCCAGCCAUGCCGCGUGAGUGAUGAAGGCCUUAGGGUUGUAAAGCUCUUUCGUCCGGGACGAUAAUGACGGUACCGGAAGAAGAAGCCCCGGCUAACUUCGUGCCAGCAGCCGCCGUAA
rnacentral:rRNA from 1 species